CCCAUGCCAAUAAUUUCCCCAGGAGACUACUUUCUCCCAUUUCUCUUUUUCUCACUCUCUUGGCCAAACUCUCUCCUCUCCUCCGAAACUCUCUCCUCCUUCUCUCUUCGAUCUCAACACCUUAGAGCGUGAUUCCGGACGAAGUCCAAGAAUUAAAAUUGCUAUACGGAGCACGGGUUUUCCGAAUAUCCAAGAAAAAUCUUGAUCGGACCGCGUGGGAGCUCGGUUGACUUGGUCAAAGGAUCGGGUUUUGCUCAAAACCCAUGAGGUACACUACAGGGACACAGUCUUGGAGGGUGUGAAGUGCAUGCAGACAUCACAAGCUAAAGUUAUAUAUAUAUAUAUAUUGGAAGUACUUGCAUAUCUUCAUAAAACAAAUUGUAUUGUAUUGUUUUCUUUAUUUUUGGAAUACUGUAUCGGUUGGACAAACCUGUGGAUUCGGAAACUGUAAUGUAUUUGGGGGCUAUCGUAUGUACUAUUGCGAGGGUUUGUAUUUAAAAAUGGUAUUGUUAUUUAUGUUGAAAA